rnacentral:tmRNA from 1 species
GGGGUAGUAAAGGUUUCGACGGGGGUUAUGAAGCUGGAGAAGCUAUCCGCAGGCUGAUGCGUCAAAUCGCAAACCUAAAUAUAAACGCUGACGACAAUCGUUUAGCAUACGCUGCCUAAUCUGGCAGUUGUCUGGCCCGGCGGACCUGCACGCCGGAACCCAGGCAUCGACCUUAGCAGGAAACGACAUAUGUUAAGCUUUGCGCAUAUGGGCGUAGGAUGAAGCUACCAAAUGGAGCAGGCCGUCCGCUGCCGGUUCCAGGAGGGAAUGACAAAGAGCUGACUAUGAUAGUAGAAGGACAGUGAAUUGGCUUUCGGACACGAGUUCGAUUCUCGUCUACUCCAUGA